GUAAACACCAGAGACAAAAGAUAGGUUUUCUAUCUGUGCUGCUCUUUUCUCUCCCCUUUUGUGUGUUUGUCUUGUUUUGUCUUCUAGGAAACAGGAUUGGACUUUAACAGCAGCAGCAAUAACAACAGCUUCAACUCAUCUCAACUAAUCUUUUCUCUUUCCUCCCCAAAAGGAGCCCCAGUGUGGUGCACGUGGACAGGAGAAGUGUUACGUGAUCCUGUACCUGUGACCUGGAGCUGCCCUUGACCAACCAGUCAUCGAGGCAGGGAAAGAUCUGGAACCCCCAACGCCUGAGGGCCUUGCCGUCGAAUGGAAGGUCCUGCAAGGAGUUCUGUGCCUUGCUGGACAAUCCAGACAGCAGGAGCCAUGAUGCUCUCCUCAUGGACACCACGGAGACCGUGGACCUUGCAGCCAUAUCCGCAGCAUCUUAGCUGCCUGAAGGGCUGCCCUGAUGGCAACCGUGCCCUCCUCAACCAGAGCCUUAAACUCCUUAUCACGCUCCUGGAGGGAGUCUGCAAAUUUGGGCAUUGAGCCCCACAAAUUAAAGUUGUAUCUGCCCAGCAGUUUUGGUGGUUUGCCACCCUCAGUUGGAAGCUUGAGGACGAAUAAAUCUUUCUACCGAAUAAAUCUAGUCUUCUUGAGUCCUUAUUCUUAGGAGUAGGAGCGGGUUGACCUUGACGCUCCCUAUGGUUGACCGCGUCGACCACUAGAGAGUUGGGGGCGGGGUGGGUAUACAGAUAUUCGUGCCCCUUGGCGGGCAAGAAAUACUUCCGUUCUGCCCUCUUGGAGAUGGUGGGCAAGGAAGCUGGGGUUUGCCACAGGGUGUUUGAGAUCUUUGCCACCCCUUCAUGCAGUGAGAGAGCCACCCUGGCCAGUGCCGAAGCCAAGAGGACAUUGAAGAGGGAAUCUGAGGGUUCCUCCACCUCCUCAGCUUGU